UACGUAGGAGACGAGCGUUGUCCGGAAUUACUGGGCGUAAAGCGCGUGUAAGCGGAUGGGCAAGUCUGCUGUGAAAGCUCCUGGCUUAACCGGGAGUGGUCGGUGGAAACUGCCAAUCUGGAGGACGGUAGAGGUAGGUAGAAUUCCCGGUGUAGUGGUGAAAUGCGUAGAGAUCGGGAGGAACACCAGUGGCGAAGGCGGUCUCUUGGGGCAUUCUUGACGCUGAGGAGCGAAAGCGUGGGGAGCGAACAGG
rnacentral:rRNA from 1 species